rnacentral:snRNA from 1 species
GUGCUCCCUUUGGCAGCACGUAUACUAAAAUUAGAACAAUAACAGAGAAGAUUAGCAUGGCCCUUGCACAAGGAUGAUCUACAAAUCUGUGAAGCGUUCUAUAUUUUU